AGUGAACGCUGGCGGUAGGCCUAACACAUGCAAGUCGAACGGCAGCUCAGUAAGAGCUUGCUCUUACGGGUGGCGAGUGGCGGACGGGUGAGGAAUACAUCGGAAUCUACUUUUUCGUGGGGGAUAACGUAGGGAAACUUACGCUAAUACCGCAUACGACCUACGGGUGAAAGCAGGGGAUCUUCGGACCUUGCGCGAUUGAAUGAGCCGAUGUCGGAUUAGCUAGUUGGCGGGGUAAAGGCCCACCAAGGCGACGAUCCGUAGCUGGUCUGAGAGGAUGAUCAGCCACACUGGAACUGAGACACGGUCCAGACUCCUACGGGAGGCAGCAGUGGGGAAUAUUGGACAAUGGGCGCAAGCCUGAUCCAGCCAUACCGCGUGGGUGAAGAAGGCCUUCGGGUUGUAAAGCCCUUUUGUUGGGAAAGGAAAGCAGCAGGUUAAUACCCCGCUGUUCUGACGGUACCCAAAGAAUAAGCACCGGCUAACUUCGUG
rnacentral:rRNA from 1 species